UACAGAGGCCCCAAGCAUUAUCCGGAUUUACUGGGCGUAAAGGGUGCGUAGGCGGUGUGAUUAGUCAGAUGUUAAAUCCUGGGGCUCAACCCCAGAACCGCAUUUGAAACGGUCACACUAGAAGGUGUUAGAGGCAAGCAGAACUCUCGGUGUAGGGGUGAAAUCCGUUGAUAUCGAGGGGAAUACCAAAUGCGAAGGCAGCUUGCUGGGACAUUCUUGACGCUGAGGCACGAAAGCAUGGGUAGCGAAGCGG
rnacentral:misc_RNA from 1 species